rnacentral:rRNA from 1 species
GACGAACGCUGGCGGCGUGCUUAACACAUGCAAGUCGAACGGAAAGGCCCUGCUUUUUUGGUGUGCUCGAGUGGCGAACGGGUGAGUAACACGUAAGUAACCUGCCCUUGACUUUGGGAUAACUUCACGAAACUGGGGCUAAUACCGGAUAGGAUCUCCUGCUCCAUGGUGGGGGUUGGAUAGUUUCGGCGGUUGGGGAUGGACUCGCGGCUUAUCAGCUUGUUGGUGGGGUAGUGGCUUACCAAGGCUUUGACGGGUAGCCGGCCUGAGAGGGUGACCGGCGACAUUGGGACUGAGAUACGGCCCAGACUCGUACGGGAGGCAGCAGUGGGGAAUAUUGCACAAUGGGCGGAAGCCUGAUGCAGAAACGCCGCGUGCGGGAUGACGGCUUUCGGGUUGAAAACAGCUUUCGCCUGUGACGAAGCGUGAGUGACGGUAAUGGGUAAAGAAGCACCGGCUAACUACGUG